rnacentral:rRNA from 1 species
UUAUACUGUGAAAUCAACAAUGCUUGGAAGACAAACAACUAAGCUUGUUUAGGCCUGCUGAGUAUUGAGACGGAAUGCCACGAGGGAGAACUGGGGCUGUACCUU